UACUGCGGAAGGAUCAUUAGUGAAUAUUAGGACGUUCAAUUUAACUUGAAGUCCGAACUCCCACUUUCUAACCCUGUGCAUUUGUUUUGGCUAGUAGGAUAUCUCGGUAUCCGAACACCUCUUCAUUUACAAACACUAAGUCUAUGAAUGUUUAAAUUUUAUAACAAUAUAAAACUUUCAACAACGGAUCUCUUGGCUCUCGCAUCGAUGAAGAACGCAGCGAAAUGUGAUAAGUAAUGUGAAUUGCAGAAUUCAGUGAAUCAUCGAAUCUUUGAACGCAUCUUGCACUCUUUGGUAUUCCGAAGAGUAUGUCUGUUUGAGUGUCAUGAAUUCUUCAACCCUCCCUUUUCUUAGUGAAUUGAGAGGAGUUUGGAUUCUGAGUGUUGCUCCUAAUACGAGCUCAUUCGUAAUACAUUAGCAUCCAUAUUCGAAUUUCGGAUUGACUUGGCGUAAUAGACUAUUCGCUGAGGAAUCUAACUUCGGUUAGAGCCGUGUUUGAACUAGGAAGCUACUAAUCUAGCUUAGUCUACCUUUAGAUUAGACCUCAAAUCAGGCAGGAUUACCCGCUGAACUUAA
rnacentral:misc_RNA from 1 species